rnacentral:pre_miRNA from 1 species
AACCAUGUUAAUAGCAGUUGUACACAUGUAUGGAUGUACCUACACAUGUUGUUAACAUGG